rnacentral:rRNA from 1 species
UGGGGAAUCUUGGACAAUGGGCGCAAGCCUGAUCCAGCCAUGCCGCGUGUGUGAAGAAGGCCUUCGGGUUGUAAAGCACUUUCAGUAGGGAGGAAGGCUUUGGGCUAAUACCCUGGAGUACUUGACGUUACCUACAGAAGAAGCACCGGCUAAUUUCGUGCCAGCAGCCGCGGUAAUACGAAAGGUGCGAGCGUUAAUCGGAAUUACUGGGCGUAAAGCGCGCGUAGGCGGUGUGUUAAGUCGGAUGUGAAAGCCCAGGGCUCAACCUUGGAAUUGCAUCCGAUACUGGCACGCUAGAGUGCAGUAGAGGGAGGUGGAAUUUCCGGUGUAGCGGUGAAAUGCGUAGAGAUCGGAAGGAACACCAGUGGCGAAGGCGGCCUCCUGGACUGACACUGACGCUGAGGUGCGAAAGCGUGGGGAGCAAACAGG